rnacentral:rRNA from 1 species
AACGAACGCUGGCGGCAUGCCUAACACAUGCAAGUCGAACGGGAUCCUGGUUUCGGCCAGGUGAGAGUGGCGGACGGGUGAGUAACGCGUGGGAACCUGCCCAGUGGUGGGGGAUAACUGCGGGAAACUGCAGCUAAUACCGCAUGAGCCCGCAAGGGGAAAGAUUGAUCGCCAUUGGAGGGGCCCGCGUUCGAUUAGGUAGUUGGUGAGGUAACGGCUCACCAAGCCUACGANCGAUAGCUGGUCUGAGAGGAUGAUCAGCCACACUGGGACUGAGAUACGGCCCAGACUCCUACGGGAGGCAGCAGUGGGGAAUAUUGGACAAUGGGGGCAACCCUGAUCCAGCAAUGCCGCGUGAGUGAUGAAGGCCUGG